CCUACGGGAGGCAGCAGUGGGGAAUCUUCCGCAAUGGGCGAAAGCCUGACGGAGCAAUGCCGCGUGAUCGAAUGAAGGCCUUCGGGUUGUAAAGAUCUGUUGAAAGGGACGAAUAAGCAAUGCGAAUAGUUUUGUGUAUGACGGUACCUGUUUAGAAAGCUCCGGCUAACUACGUGCAAGCAGCCGCGGUAAUACGUAGGGAGCAAGGGUUAUCAGGAUUGAUUGGGUUUAAAGGGUGCGUAGGCUGGUAGGUAAGUCAGCGGUGAAAUGCCCCCGCUCAACGGGGUGAAGUGCCAUUGAUACUGCCUUGCUUGAAUGCGGAUGCCGUGGGAGGAAUGUGUGGUGUAGCGGUGAAAUGCAUAGAUAUCACACAGAACACCGAUUGCGAAGGCAUCUCACGAAUCCGCGAUUGACGCUGAUGCACGAAAGCGUGGGUAUCAAACAGGAUUAGAUACCCCUGUAGUC
rnacentral:rRNA from 1 species